AACAGCGGAAGUGUAUAGCGUCGCAAGGGAUGUCAUUAGGCUGCUUCUGGUUUUAUUGAAUCCGGUAAAAAAUAGUUGUAAAAGAAAAACGUCAAAAUGACUGAUUCAAAUGGAAGAAAAUUGUCGCCAGCUGCAGCACGGAACUUGGGAAUGUAUAGGGAGUCUUGGUGUGCUGUUGAAAUGAAGAAGGAACAAAGCUGGUGUCGGAAGGAAAGAAAACAUGACCCCGAGCAGUUCAGUAGCUCCGUUUUUGAUAAACACCAACCAGGUUACGAGCCAAGAUGUACGUUCGCAGUAGAAGCACCUACACACCGAGAACGGAGGCACUACCAAGAUCAAUACAACUGUCAAAUGAAGAUUUGAUUGAACAGUCCAUGCAGAAAUGAUUAUGAAGAUUUCAUGUUGGUUACCAAACAGUCCAUCAUCCCCAAGUCAAGCUGUGUGAAGAUUGGAAUUAAAAACAUUGAACAUUUUGUAAUGUGCUAGUAUUUUUAAGAAAAAGAAAAUCGGAUAUUUGUGAAAAUUGAUAUUUCAUGCUUGUGUGAUUAAAUGACAAUAUGAAAUAUUUAAUUAUGAUAUGAAAUAGAAUACUAACCUGCCGAAGUGAUAAUGUGUGAACAUCAGUAUUACAAAAUGUUUAUGCAUUGUUGAAAUGUUGAAUAAUUAUUUACAUCUGGAAUAUUCUAAGUCAAUAUUUGUGAAAAUCGUUAAUAUCUGGAAGUGUGAUUAAAUAACAACAUUAAAUAUCUAUUUAUGGUAUAAAAUGAAAUGGAAUACUAACCUUUUUACAACCUAAGAAAUAAUGUGUGAACAUCAGUAUUACAAAAUUUGUUCAUGCAUUGUUGAAAUAAUGAAUAAUUAUUUACAUCUGGAAUAUUCUAAGUCAAUAUUUGUGAAAAUCGUUAAUAUCUGGAAGUGUGAUUAAAUGACAACAUUAAAUACCUAUUUAUGGUGUGAAAUAUAAUACUAACCUUGUUACAGCCUAAGUGAUAAUGUGUGAAGAUCAGUAUUACAAAAUUAGUUCAUGCAUUGUUGAAAUGUUGAAUAAUUGUUUACAUCUGGAAUCUAUUUGUUAUGUAGGUUUGAAAUCAGUAUUACAUUUUAUCUGUAUGUAUUCUAUGUAGAAGCACGUCAGUAUUUUUUAUGUAUUUAUGUCAGCAUUUUUCAUAUUUAUGUAGGUUUAGCAUAGAUCUACUUUUACAUUCCUGUUAUAAGAAUUUUAUCAUAAUUUUUAUAAAGCAUAUAUUUAAUCAGAUUAUAACUGUAGAAUUUCUAUCGUUACUUUCUAAUACAACACAGUAUUAUCAGUUGAUGUACAUUAUAUGCGUAAAUAGUCAGAUUACAUUGCUGCACUCUUUAUCUAGAUGUCUAUAUUCAUUUUUAAUAAUUUGCUCAAGUGCAAUGUGCGCAAGAUUGUGGGUGUUCAAAUAAAUUUGAUUUAAAUCAAAA